UAAAAUGAAUCUAAAUUUUAGUAAUUAAUUUCGACUUAGUUUUAUGAUAUAUUAAAUAUCCAUUUUAU
rnacentral:tRNA from 1 species